rfam:Oryza brachyantha chromosome 7, whole genome shotgun sequence.
AAUAACCUUAUUUUUCGUUUUUUCGUGUCCAACAUUUGACCAUUCGUCUUAUUUGAUUUUUUGCAAUUAAUACUUUUAUUAUUACUAGAUGAUAAAAUAUGAAUAUUAUUUUAUACGUGACUAAUUUUUUAAAGUUUUUAUAUAAAUUUUUCAAAUAAGACGAACGAUCAAAUAUUGCACACGGAAAAAC